rnacentral:rRNA from 1 species
CGAGGAAUAUUGCACAAUGGAGGAAACUCUGAUGCAGUAACGCCGCGUGGGGGAAGAAGACCUUCGGGUUGUAAACCUCUUUUUGGCAAGACGAGUGAGGACGGUAUUGCUAGAAUAAGUCUCGGCUAACUACGUGCCAGCAGCCGCGGUAAGACGUAGGAGGCGAGCGUUAUCCGGAUUCACUGGGCGUAAAGCGCAUGUAGGCGGAUGUCUAAGUCGUGUGUUAAAGCCCCUGGCUCAACUGGGGGAGGUCAUGCGAGACUGGAUGACUUGAGGGCAACAGAGGCACGUGGAACUCCCGGUGUAGCGGUGGAAUGCGUAGAGAUCGGGAAGAACACCCGUGGCGAAGGCGGCGUGCUGGGUUGCAACUGACGCUGAGAUGCGAAAGUGUGGGGAGCAAACGG